rnacentral:rRNA from 1 species
GACGUAGGGCGCGAGCGUUGUCCGGAUUUAUUGGGCGUAAAGAGCUCGUAGGCGGCUUGUCGCGUCGAAUGUGAAAAACCCCGAGGCUCAACUUCGGGCUUCAUUCGAUACGGGCAGGCUCGAGUUCGGUAGGGGAGACUGGAAUUCCUGGUGUAGCGGUGAAAUGCGCAGAUAUCAGGAGGAACACCGGUGGCGAAGGCGGUUCUCUGGGCAUGUCCUGACGUGAGGAGCGAAAGUGUGGGGGAGCGAACAGG